rnacentral:rRNA from 1 species
UUGUGAGGUUAAGCGACUAAGCGUACACGGUGGAUGCCCUGGCAGUCAGAGGCGAUGAAGGACGUGCUAAUCUGCGAUAAGCGUCGGUGAGGUGAUAUGAACCGUUAUAACCGGCGAUUUCCGAAUGGGGAAACCCAGUGUGUUUCGACACACUAUCAUUAACUGAAUCCAUAGGUUAAUGAGGCGAACCGGGGGAACUGAAACAUCUAAGUACCCCGAGGAAAAGAAAUCAACCGAGAUUCCCCCAGUAGCGGCGAGCGAACGGGGAGGAGCCCAGAGCCUGAAUCAGUGUGUGUGUUAGUGGAAGCGUCUGGAAAGGCGCGCGAUACAGGGUGACAGCCCCGUACACAAAAAUGCACAUAUUGUGAGCUCGAUGAGUAGGGCGGGACACGUGGUAUCCUGUCUGAAUAUGGGGGGACCAUCCUCCAAGGCUAAAUACUCCUGACUGACCGAUAGUGAACCAGUACCGUGAGGGAAAGGCGAAAAGAACCCCGGCGAGGGGAGUGAAAAAGAACCUGAAACCGUGUACGUACAAGCAGUGGGAGCCUCUUAAUGGGGUGACUGCGUACCUUUUGUAUAAUGGGUCAGCGACUUAUAUUCUGUAGCAAGGUUAACCGAAUAGGGGAGCCGGAGGGAAACCGAGUCUUAACUGGGCGUUAAGUUGCAGGGUAUAGACCCGAAACCCGGUGAUCUAGCCAUGGGCAGGUUGAAGG